rnacentral:rRNA from 1 species
GACGAACGCUGGCGGCGUGCUUAACACAUGCAAGUCGAACGGUGAACGAGGGAGCUUGCUCCCUCCGGAUCAGUGGCGAACGGGUGAGUAACACGUGAGCAAUCUGCCCCGAACUCUGGGAUAAGCGUUGGAAACGACGUCUAAUACCGGAUACGACGCGGGAGGGCAUCCUCUCCGCGUGGAAAGAACUUCGGUUCGGGAUGAGCUCGCGGCCUAUCAGCUUGUUGGUGAGGUAACGGCUCACCAAGGCGACGACGGGUAGCCGGCCUGAGAGGGUGACCGGCAACACUGGGACUGAGACACGGCCCAGACUCCUACGGGAGGCAGCAGUGGGGAAUAUUGCACAAUGGGCGAAAGCCUGAUGCAGCAACGCCGCGUGAGGGACGACGGCCUUCGGGUUGUAAACCUCUUUUAGCAGGGAAGAAGCGAAAGUGACGGUACCUGCAGAAAAAGCACCGGCUAACUACGU